AACGAACGCUGGCGGCAUGCCUAACACAUGCAAGUCGAACGAGACCUUCGGGUCUAGUGGCGCACGGGUGCGUAACGCGUGGGAACCUUCCCUUAGGUUCGGAAUAACUCCCCGACAGGGGUGCUAAUACCGGAUAAUGUCUUCCGACCAAAGACUUAUCGCCUUUGGAUGGGCCCGCGUUGGAUUAGCUAGUUGGUAGGGGAAAAACCUACCACGGCGGCGAUCCAUAGCUGGUCUGAGAGGAUGAUCAGCCACACUGGGACUGGGACACGGCCCCGAGUCCUACGGGAGGCAGCAGUGGGGAAGAUUGGACAAGGGGCGAAAUUCUGACCCAGCAAUGCCGCGGGGGUGAGGGAGGCUGUAGGGUUGCAAAGCUCUGUUACACGGGAUGACAGUGACGGUACCGUGGGAAUAAGGUCCGGCUCAACCCGUG
rnacentral:rRNA from 1 species